rnacentral:miRNA from 1 species
AUCUCGUUCCCAGAGUAUGCCUGCUCGCGGGUUAGGUGCCACUACCUAACCCGCGAACAGUCAUACUCUGGGAACGAGAUUGAAGA